UUUUUUUUUUUUGGGCAAAAAUCUGAGAUAAUAGCCUUAUAGCCUGCUAAGCAAAAAUUUUAAGGCUAUGUGCUGUCUCUGCAACUUUGAUGCAGCUGUCACUGCUCAGGACGGACCAGAGGCUGUCGCAGCUAUAGCUCGUGAUCACUUAGGACACCCUUGGGGCUGGGGUUGCAAAACAAGCCAGUUCAUAUCUGAUCCUCUCGUAUGGAAGCACUUGCUCGUCGGGAAGCGACACUCAUUGCCAAAUCAAAAAGCUGUAGCAAAAUCAUCAUUGAGGGAGACUCUCAAACUAUAACCAACGCCCUCCAAGGAGCACCAGCACCUCUAGAUAUUCAGGGCAUCAUUAAUGAUAUUUUAGUUUUUUUCUGCAGCAUUGAGAAUGUUUUUCGUUUGUUAGAAGAGGUUCUCAUAGUGGCGUCCAAAGCCCUGAGAAACCCUUCCUUUCUAUGUAAUCCGUGGGGACUAUGUAACAUCUGCUAUGCCAUCUUAAGGUUCAUCAAUAUAAUUCUAUCUCGG
rnacentral:misc_RNA from 1 species